CAAGUCGGGCGGUAACAGGAAAGCGCUUGCGCUUUUGCUGACGAGCGGCGGACGGGUGAGUAAUGUCUGGGGAUCUGCCCGAGGGCGGGGGAUAACCACUGGAAACGGUGGCUAAUACCGCAUAAUGUCGCAAGACCAAAGUGGGGGACCUGAAAGGGCCUCACGCCGUCGGAUGAACCCAGAUGGGAUUAGCUGGUAGGUAGGGUAAUGGCCUACCUAGGCGACGAUCCCUAGCUGGUCUGAGAGGAUGACCAGCCACACUGGGACUGAGACACGGCCCAGACUCCUACGGGAGGCAGCAGUGGGGAAUAUUGCACAAUGGGCGCAAGCCUGAUGCAGCCAUGCCGCGUGUAUGAAGAAGGCCUUCGGGUUGUAAAGUACUUUCAGCGGGGAGGAAGGGUUGAGCCUGAACAGGGCUGGGCCUUGACGUUACCCGCAGAAGAAGCACCGGCUAACUCCGUGCCAGCAGCCGCGGUAAUACGGAGGGUGCGAGCGUUAAUCGGAAUGACUGGGCGUAAAGCGCACGCAGGCGGUCAAUUAAGUUAGAUGUGAAAUCCCCGGGCUCAACCUGGGAACGGCAUCUAAGACUGGUUGACUGGAGUCUCGUAGAGGGGGGUAGAAU
rnacentral:rRNA from 1 species